rnacentral:rRNA from 1 species
GGUUAAGCGACUAAGCGUACACGGUGGAUGCCCUGGCAGUCAGAGGCGAUGAAGGACGUGCUAAUCUGCGAAAAGCGUCGGUAAGGUGAUAUGAACCGUUAUAGCCGGCGAUGUCCGAAUGGGGAAACCCAGUGCAAUUCGUUGCACUAUCGUUAACUGAAUACAUAGGUUAACGAGGCGAACCGGGGGAACUGAAACAUCUAAGUACCCCGAGGAAAAGAAAUCAACCGAGAUUCCCCCAGUAGCGGCGAGCGAACGGGGAGCAGCCCAGAGUCUGAAUCAGCUUGUGUGUUAGUGGAACGGUCUGGAAAGUCCGACGGUACAGGGUGAUAGUCCCGUACACCAAAAUGCACAGGUUGUGAACUCGAAGAGUAGGGCGGGACACGUGGUAUCCUGUCUGAAUAUGGGGGGACCAUCCUCCAAGGCUAAAUACUCCUGACUGACCGAUAGUGAACCAGUACCGUGAGGGAAAGGCGAAAAGAACCCCGGCGAGGGGAGUGAAAAAGAACCUGAAACCGUGUACGUACAAGCAGUGGGAGCACCUUCGGGUGUGACUGCGUACCUUUUGUAUAAUGGGUCAGCGACUUAUAUUCUGUAGCAAGGUUAACCGUAUAGGGGAGCCGCAGGGAAACCGAGUCUUAACUGGGCGUUAAGUUGCAGGGUAUAGACCCGAAACCCGGUGAUCUAGCCAUGGGCAGGUUGAAGGUUGGGUAACACUAACUGGAGGACCGAACCGACUAAUGUUGAAAAAUUAGCGGAUGACUUGUGGCUGGGGGUGAAAGGCCAAUCAAACCGGGAGAUAGCUGGUUCUCCCCGAAAGCUAUUUAGGUAGCGCCUCGUGAAUUCAUCUUCGGGGGUAGAGCACUGUUUCGGCUAGGGGGUCAUCCCGACUUACCAACCCGAUGCAAACUACGAAUACCGAAGAAUGUUAUCACGGGAGACACACGGCGGGUGCUAACGUCCGUCGUGAAGAGGGAAACAACCCAGACCGCCAGCUAAGGUCCCAAAGUCAUGGUUAAGUGGGAAACGAUGUGGGAAGGCACAGACAGCCAGGAUGUUGGCUUAGAAGCAGCCAUCAUUUAAAGAAAGCGUAAUAGCUCACUGGUCGAGUCGGCCUGCGCGGAAGAUGUAACGGGGCUAAACCAUGCACCGAAGCUGCGGCAGCGACACGAUGUGUUGUUGGGUAGGGGAGCGUUCUGUAAGCCUGCGAAGGUGGCCUGUGAGGGUUGCUGGAGGUAUCAGAAGUGCGAAUGCUGACAUAAGUAACGAUAAAGCGGGUGAAAAGCCCGCUCGCCGGAAGACCAAGGGUUCCUGUCCAACGUUAAUCGGGGCAGGGUGAGUCGACCCCUAAGGCGAGGCCGAAAGGCGUAGUCGAUGGGAAACAGGUUAAUAUUCCUGUACUUGGUGUUACUGCGAAGGGGGGACGGAGAAGGCUAUGUUAGCCGGGCGACGGUUGUCCCGGUUUAAGCAUGUAGGCUGGUUAUCCAGGCAAAUCCGGAUAAUCAAGGCUGAGGUGUGAUGACGAAGCACUACGGUGCUGAAGUAACAAAUGCCCUGCUUCCAGGAAAAGCCUCUAAGCAUCAGGUAACAUCAAAUCGUACCCCAAACCGACACAGGUGGUCAGGUAGAGAAUACCAAGGCGCUUGAGAGAACUCGGGUGAAGGAACUAGGCAAAAUGGUGCCGUAACUUCGGGAGAAGGCACGCUGGUGUGUAGGUGAAGCCCCUGCGGGUGGAGCUGAGACCAGUCGAAGAUACCAGCUGGCUGCAACUGUUUAUUAAAAACACAGCACUGUGCAAACACGAAAGUGGACGUAUACGGUGUGACGCCUGCCCGGUGCCGGAAGGUUAAUUGAUGGGGUUAUCCGUAAGGAGAAGCUCUUGAUCGAAGCCCCGGUAAACGGCGGCCGUAACUAUAACGGUCCUAAGGUAGCGAAAUUCCUUGUCGGGUAAGUUCCGACCUGCACGAAUGGCGUAAUGAUGGCCAGGCUGUCUCCACCCGAGACUCAGUGAAAUUGAACUCGCUGUGAAGAUGCAGUGUACCCGCGGCAAGACGGAAAGACCCCGUGAACCUUUACUAUAGCUUGACACUGAACAUUGAGCCUUGAUGUGUAGGAUAGGUGGGAGGCUUUGAAGCGUGGACGCCAGUCUGCGUGGAGCCAACCUUGAAAUACCACCCUUUAAUGUUUGAUGUUCUAACGUUGGCCCCUGACCGGGGUUGCGGACAGUGUCUGGUGGGUAGUUUGACUGGGGCGGUCUCCUCCCAAAGCGUAACGGAGGAGCACGAAGGUUAGCUAAUCCUGGUCGGACAUCAGGAGGUUAGUGCAAUGGCAUAAGCUAGCUUGACUGCGAGCGUGACGGCGCGAGCAGGUGCGAAAGCAGGUCAUAGUGAUCCGGUGGUUCUGAAUGGAAGGGCCAUCGCUCAACGGAUAAAAGGUACUCCGGGGAUAACAGGCUGAUACCGCCCAAGAGUUCAUAUCGACGGCGGUGUUUGGCACCUCGAUGUCGGCUCAUCACAUCCUGGGGCUGAAGUAGGUCCCAAGGGUAUGGCUGUUCGCCAUUUAAAGUGGUACGCGAGCUGGGUUUAGAACGUCGUGAGACAGUUCGGUCCCUAUCUGCCGUGGGCGCUGGAGAAUUGAGGGGGGCUGCUCCUAGUACGAGAGGACCGGAGUGGACGCAUCACUGGUGUUCGGGUUGUCAUGCCAAUGGCACUGCCCGGUAGCUAAAUGCGGAAGAGAUAAGUGCUGAAAGCAUCUAAGCACGAAACUUGCCCCGAGAUGAGUUCUCCCUGAGACUUUAAGUCUCCUGAAGGAACGUUGAAGACGACGACGUUGAUAGGCCGGGUGUGUAAGCGCAGCGAUGCGUUGAGCUAACCGGUACUAAUGAACCGUGAGGCUUAACCUU